rnacentral:lncRNA from 1 species
UAACAAAGGUAUGUUAACUUGAACUUUCCGAAAAGGUUUCAAGGAUAUCCUUUUCUGCCUCUUCUUUCUUCGUUUGCAUGAACCUACUAGGAAAAGGCACAAUUGAAGGAAAACAUUAGUAUGAACCGAAUUUGACACAUUCUUACCUUUGUGGGACAAAUUGGGCAGAUUUGGGACAUUAGGAGCUUGCGACAAAGGUGGAACCACCUUUGCCGUGGGCAACCUUGAUUCCUCCUCUUCCAAUUGCAAAAGUUCAUCCUCAUUAUGAGCCUGUUUUUGAAUGUAGGACCUGCCCCAACUUCCUUACCACUUCUUAGGUGAUUGCUUUGGCACUUUCGAACCCUCCCUUCGGAUUUGGAAUGGUGGAACUAGGGAGUUGUCCGGGAUCUCGAAACUUACCUACAAACUCGGCAAUCUGCCCAAUUUGUUUCUCAAGUUGAUCCACCCUCUUAUCUUGGUUUUGCAUAGCCUUUGCUUGAUCUUCCUGCCCAUUAGACAACUUAGUUAGUAUCUUAAGAAGUGCAUCAUUGUCAAGAGACGUACCUGA